UAUCUGACAUUCCCUCUUCUAAGGACUCUCCCAGCUCUGACAUUCCCUGUUCUAAGGACUCUCCCAGCUCUGACAUUCUCUGUUCUAAGCUCCCUCCCAGCUCUGACAUUCUCUGUUCUAAGGACUCUCCCAGCUCUGACAUUCCCUGUUCUAAGGACUCUCCCAGCUCUGACAUUCCCUGUUCUAAGGAUUCUCCCAGCUCUGACAUUCCCUGUUCUAAGGUCUCUCCCAGCUCUGACAUUCUCUGUUCUAAGCUCCCUCCCAGCUCUGACAUUCUCUGUUCUAAGCUCCCUCCCAGCUCUGACAUUCUCUGUUCUAAGCUCCCUCCCAGCUCUGACAUUCUCUGUUCUAAGGUCUCUCCCAGCUCUGACAUUCUCUGUUCUAAGGUCUCUCCCAGCUCUGACAUUCCCUGUUCUAAGGACUCUCCCAGCUCUGACAUUCUCUGUUCUAAGGUCUCUCCCAGCUCUGACAUUCCUUGUUCUAAGGACUCUCCCAGCUCUGACAUUCUCUGUUCUAAGGGUCCUCCCAGCUCUGACAUUCCCUGUUCUAAGGUCUCUCCCAGCUCUGACAUUCCUUGUUCUAAGGACUCUCCCAGCUCUGACAUUCCCUGUUCUAAGGAUUCUCCCAGCUCUGACAUUCCCUGUUCUAAGGUCUCUCCCAGCUCUGACAUUCUCUGUCCUAAGGGCUCUCCCAGCUCUGACAUUCCCUGUUCUAAGGUCUCUCCCAGCUCUGACAUUCUUUGUUCUAAGGACCUUCCCAGCUCUGACAUUCUCUGUUCUAAGGACUCUCCUAGCUCUGUCAUUCUCUGUUCUAAGCUCCCUCCCAACUCUGACAUUCUCUAUUCUAAGGGUCCUCCCAGCCCUGACAUUCUCUGUCCUAAGGGCUCUCUCAGCUCUUGACAUUCCUUGUUCUGAGGACCCUGCCAGCUCUUACACCCUUUGUUUUAAAGGGUUUCCCAGCUCUGACAUUCUAAAACCACUACAUUUGUUGAUAAGAGAGAGGAAGGGCUGA
rnacentral:lncRNA from 1 species